rnacentral:rRNA from 1 species
UACAGAGGCCUCAAGCGUUGUUCGGAAUUACUGGGCGUAAAGGGAAUGUAGGUGGUCGCGUAAGUCAGAUGUGAAAGCCCUAGGCUUAACCUGGGAAAUGCAUUUGAUACUGCACGGCUUGAGUGCGUGAGAGGAAAGCGGAAUUGCUGGUGUAGGGGUGAAAUCCGUAGAUAUCAGCAGGAAUACCGACGGCGAAGGCAGCUUUCUGGCACGUAACUGACACUGAGAUUCGAAAGCAUGGGUAGCAAACAGG